rnacentral:lncRNA from 1 species
AGAGACUGAGGCCAUAUUGGGUUGUUGUGUGACGUCUGUAGCUUGACUUUUCAGGCAUGGUGAAGAUGACCUCCCAGCUGUGGAAGACAAGACACUGUCACUCCCAUAUGUAAGACUAUCCAGACAGAACAUGGGAGUGCAGUGGAUUUCACUAAAGAUGUGGAUGUGGGAACUUUUGCCUGAGAUGUCUUGGCCUCUCAUAUUUGAAGUAACCAACAACUCUCAUGCCCCUUUCCAACUCUCUGGCUUCACUCUCCCUCUUUUCUUUCUGCAUUUGAAACAAGUACCACAGGCAGUUCUGAUGUAAUUUGUGCAUAUGCAAUGCAUUUAUAAAAGGUCAGGAUAAACAAACGAGAAUAAACAUCAGUGUUACUUUUACAGAUGUCCAGCGCAAAUGAGAUGGAAUUUUUCUAUGUUAGAGAAUCUUUGCAAUCUCAAGCAUGGCUACUACCAAAAUAUGCAAGAAACAAAUUCUCGCAUUUAAGGUGUCUGAAAGGUAAACCUCUUUUCUCUCUGUUUCUACAGUGCUCAGCAAGGAGCCUCCAGGAAGCACAUGAGGACAGGAAGUAGCAGGCAAGAGGAAGUGACCCUAGAGCAAUAGCUGUGCAAGGACUGAGGUUUGUUCCCUCAGUUCCAGAAACAACACAAGCACACAUUUCAGACAUGAUGGUAAAGUGCUAUCUUGCUUUAGAUAUGAGGUGUUCCCCAAAAGCUCGUGUUUAAGACGAUGAAAGACAGUUUAGAGGUGAAAUGAUUGGGUUAUGAAAGCUUUAACCUAAUCAGUGAAUUGAUGCACUGAUAUGGAAUGGCUAGAAGAGGUGGGUCACUGUGGGAGAACUUUGGGGUUUAUAUUUUGUUCUGGUAAGCAGAACUCUCUCCCUCUGCUUCCUGGUGCCUGGCCUGCUCUGCUUUCUUAUGCCAUGCCUUUCCACUCUGGUGAUCAGCCUCAUCGUUGGCCCAGAGCAAUGGAUACAAUGGAUUUGGUUGUCUGUGCUCUGAAGCUUUGAAACCGAGAAACAAUUAAACUUUACUUCCUCUACAUUUUUUUCUUGUCAGGUUAUUUGGUGACAGCAACAAAAAGAAAGUUGACAAACAAAGAUGAACUCUUGUGUCCCUUGUAGAGGUCUUUAUUGCAGGCUUAAGUGAACACAUCAGGAGGAGCAGCACAUUGUGGUAAUGUCUGGCAUAAGUUUUCUCCCCACAGCCGUCUCUGGACCAAAUGGAGAUGCUGAGCCACCUGAGGUACAGCUCUCCUGCACCACACACCAUGAGGCUAUCUGCACUUCUUCCUGAUACCUUUGUCCAUCCAUUAUUGUGAAAUUAAUAUUUUUUGUUAAUUUCUUGUCUUUGCUUUCCACAUUUACCUUCUCUGAAAAAGUACUCAUAUGUCACUAACAAUGCUCUUUGCAUAUCAA